UAAAGGCUUUAUCGAAGUCACUUCUUUGUCACCAUGACUUGGAGUGGUCAAAAGUGAGCCAAUAUCAAAUCUUUCAGACGGUCGCUAGUCGGUUUUAUAAUUGACUAAGCAUUACCAAAUGUUAGUACAAAA